AUCGUCAGCAGCUGUAACCGUCUCUGUUCCACGGGCUUUGGUUAUUUUUUAGCGUCUAUCAACUAUAAACCACAGAAAUGCGAUCUAUAACACAGUGAAAGAGCAUUAAACGGACGAUCAAACGAUUAAGUUGUUUACGAAGAAAAUCUUUACAUCUGUGUGUU